UCAAUCCCAACAAAAUUUAUUUUUGGUUACCCGCUCAUUACUCCCGCUUCUUCUCAUCUCCGUCGUGCGCCCUAAAUACUCCCUUUUUAUCUCAAAAUUUGCCCCCAAAUUUCCCAUUUCCAGCAACACCAAGUCAAUACACCUACGCCAAUCACACUUCCUCCUGCUCAAUAGGUGUUCUUUUUUAUUUCUAUUGCUUUUGAUUUUGAUUUUAUGUUUCUUUGAUUGAUUAGAUUUUGGGGCAAUCCUUGUGGAAGACACGACCUGCACUUUGGAGCUUUUCAAAGUUCUCUCCUAUUGCCAGAAAAGAGAACAAGAUAUUACACAGCCGGAUUGAAGCUAUGCAUAUUCAGUUUGCUGAGAAAGAUCGUGGUUCUGCACUUGCAGAGCUAGUGACAGUUUCAGGCAUUGGAAAUAAUUGGUGCGAAGGUUUCUCUACGUAUCCAAGAACAUAUGACCUUAUUCAUUCUAAUGGUGUCUUUAGCUUGUAUCAAGAUAAGUACUUCUCUUAUCCAUAUUUUUCCAGUGUGCCAUGUUUCAUUAGGAAUCAAAGUUGUCAUUCAGCAUAUAAUUCAAUACACACAUCCACUGUAGCCAUGUUGCAUCAUUUAAGCCUUUUAAAAUUAAGAAAUAAUAAAUGGUAGUUUUUAUGAAGUGAAGAGUUAUAUUUCAAUGGCAUUAUGUGGAAUAUGGAAGUCUUUGUAUGUUGAAUGCGUUCUUGGGAUGCCAUUAUCUAUAGUUUCGAAUCAAUUGUAUGGUAUGUGUAAAUGAUUAUAUAGGUGAUAGGUAAAUCUUGUGAUACCUUUUCUUUCUUUGUUCACCUCACUUUAUAGCCUAUUUUUUUCCCUCCUGCGUUGGAUCUUAAUUUUUUUAAAUCACAUGAUCUCAAAUUUCAAUUUCUUUUAACAUUUAUUGGAAGAAUAAUGUGGUCUCAUUUGAUUGUUUCUCCUAUUACUUCUACUCGUAUUUCUUUUUGGAUGAAUAAAUUUAUUUGUUUAAUCCUCAUCAUCCUGUACAAUAUCAUGCUUGCAAGUUUCUGCUUUCCUCCUUAUUGCAGAUUUACUAUCCUGUUAUCCCUCUGUUGUUCUCCUUGAUGUGGAUAUUUCUUGUAAAGAAGUACUUACAUUUUGCUGUUUAUUCAUGCUUACAGGAUAGGAUCAAAUGGUUUGGAGAACUCCAUUGGGAAGAAAGUUUGCGUGAUGCACACACGUUUGGAAAACUUGUUCUGUUUCAGAACUUGGAUCCAGCUUACUUUUUAGCAGAAGUGGAGGAUAUAGUUUGGAAUGCCGUCAAUGAAACUUGCAGAGCAAUGAUGGUGUAGCAGACUGCAUUGU